AGCUAAGGCUGCUCAGAGAAACCCUGUCUCAAAACAAAACAAAACAAAAACAAAAAAACAAAAAACAAACAAAACAGAGACAGAGACAGAGAGACAGAAACUGAUGGAGGGGAAGAGAACCACAAGUUUGAGGCCACCUACAAUACACACAAUAAAUCUUUAAAAAGGUGUAAAAAUAAUGGUGCAUUAGAGAUGGUUCAGUGGUUACAAAGACACACUAACUACCUUUGCAGAAGACCUGAAUUCACAUCAGGUGGCUCACAAACACCUGUAACUCUAGUUCUAGGGAUUCAAAUUCAGUGCUGGCUUCUCUCCGCAGGCUCCUGCACUCAUGUGCACACACCAGCACACAAGUGAGCAUUAUUUUAAUUUUUGAGACAGAGUCAUGGUUGGCCUGGCACUUGCUGAGAUCAGGAAUUCCUCUAAUCAGAGAUCUGCCUACCUCUGCCUAAAGGGCAUGUACCAACUUGCCCAGCGGUAAACAUAGUUAAAAACAUAAUAAUAAAGUAAAUCUUAAAAAAAAAACAAAAAAACAAAAUUAGAAUCGAUACAGGUAGUCUUCUGCCCCUUCUGGUGUUUUAUUAUAUUAAUAAAGAUGUCUCAAUAAAGCAACAAAACGAAACAAAAAAGUAAAUCUUUUAAAAACGCAAGAAUAAAGCAAAUAGUUUACAAGUGGGACUAGCUUCCCAGUGAACAUGACAAAACCUAGCCACUCAAGAUCCGGGGAAAGUGCCCAGCCUCAACCCACCAUGUACAGAAGUACAAAGUCAGCAAAAUUCUUCUAGGAAGGGAAUAGGGAAGGUGGGGCAUGGCUAUCCUAUGGGCCCUAGAGAGAGACCAGGUGGGCCGGAGCACCCAGUAUCUUGCUGUUACCUUUCAGCGCCCCAGCCUGCAGCUGACUGAGGACCAGAGUGAGCCAGCAAGGGGAUGGGGACACCUCAGCCGCAGCAGCCCAGCCCCUCCGCUGCACCUCGGACCGGACCGCUACUGCCUGUCCCCCAGCCCCUGGGCUCAGCCCCCGCCCUGCUGUUCCCACAUGUCUGGUUCCUACCUACUAAUCUCCCCUUUUCUGACGUUGCCCCCUCUCCCCACCCCCUACCUGCCUCUCCGUUUUGCUUUUAUUUAUUUUGGAUUAGCCGGUUGUUCUCCCCCUACCAGAUUUACCCCCUCGGGUCUGCCCCCUCCUUCCCUGCUGCCCCCUUUAGAACACCCCAAGAAGGCUUUUGUAUUUGUGCAUAGCUAGAGUGGGGCAGGGAGCCUGCUACAGGCCGAAGCCCCAACUGUUGUUUUUUUAUUCUGGCUUUUCCCUCUUUUGCUCUUUACUUUUUUUUUUUUUUUUCUUUUUUAAAGGAACUGUUUUUAAACUAUUUCUAGGUUUGUGAAUGUGAAGCCCCGGGCCAUAGGGGGCAAGGGGCCAGGUGCCCCCCCCACCAGCUGAGAACAAAGUGUCUAUGGGUGUGGGCUCCUGGCCACCUCCCUCCAGCCCUGGAGAGGAGGGCAGCGGGCAGGGCAGCGGGUAGACCAGGCCGAGCCCCUGGAACCAGCCCGUCCUGUAUCAUAUGUAAAUACUGUGAGGUGAAGCCCUAUCCACACCCCUCUCUAAGAUCCCUUGGGGUAUGGGCAUUGCCCGACCCCACAGGGCAAAGGUUUCCCCUUGUCCCCUGUCUCUGUCCCCUCUUCCUCUUCAGACUUACUGUAAGCUUGCAGACCUCAGCUCUGGCCACCAGAAGGCCCACACUGUCAGGCCUCCAGGGUUCAAGGCCUACUCUCCCCCAAAACCCCGUGUUGGGACCAGGGAAGAGGAGGGCCUGCCUAGAGCCACCGCUGGGAAGGAAUUAGCUCUCUGAACGCCACAGCUUAGGCAGGACCUUCACCGUGGGUGGGCAUCAGGGGCACUUCAGUUAGGAGACAAUGCCAGGGAAAGCAAAGGGCUUCUCAGGGAACCCCCACAUUCUCACUGAAGUUCCCCACCAGGAUAGUCCCGCGACCAGAGCCCUUGGUAGCCAGCCCCUUACCCUGGAGCCCCUUUCAGAGGGUGUGAACAUGAAGCGAGACCUGGCAGGGCUGAGGCCUACCUGCUGUCAUCCCCUCUCUGUGUCCUUCCUCACCCAUGUCUGAGGAUGGGGGCUUAAGCUUCCUUCCCCAGCAGAGCCCCCACCCCUCAAAACCCCCCUUGGAGAGUUAACUGUCUAUGUGAGGCGCUCACUCAACCUAUUAGCCCUGAAAACUCAAAGCAAUAAUCUUUGUCACCAAGAUGCGCGGCUGUUUUUUUUUUUGUUUGUUUUUUGUUUUUUGUUUUAAUAUUUCCUAAUAAAAGAGAAGCUGCAUUUUAUUGGUUUUUAUUUUUAAUUUUCUACGCAUCUGAGCUGAGCCCCAGGAGACUUAGCUUCCUUCCCCCCCCCCAUCCCUGGACCCGCUCACCCCACUGGGCCUAACCAUGGGUUCAGGGACCUGGAAUUCCAUUUUCUGUUUUGUUUGAGGAAAAAAAAAUUUUUUUUUUUUUUAAAGAUGUUACAUGGUGUUUUUGAAGCCAGCAAGUUCCACCCUCGGUGUCUCUCCACAUCUGUAACUUCUUUUUCCAGGUCUUCUUUUGUUUUACAUUCCUAAUAAAUUAUUUGAAAACGG
ensembl:lncRNA